GAUGAACGCUAGCUACAGGCUUAACACAUGCAAGUCGAGGGGUAGCAGGGUAGCAAUACCGCUGACGACCGGCGCACGGGUGAGUAACACGUAUCCAACCUUCCCAUAACUCGGGGAUAGCCUUUCGAAAGAAAGAUUAAUACCCGAUAGUCCUUAACAAAGGCAUCUUUGAUAAGUUAAAGAUUUAUUGGUUAUGGAUGGGGAUGCGUUCCAUUAGAUAGUUGGUGAGGUAACGGCUCACCAAGUCUUCGAUGGAUAGGGGUUCGGAGAGGAAGGUCCCCCACAUUGGUACUGAGACACGGACCAAACUCCUACGGGAGGCAGCAGUGAGGAAUAUUGGUCAAUGGGCGAGAGCCUGAACCAGCCAAGUAGGGUGAAGGAUGAAGGUCCUAUGGAUUGUAAACUUCUUUUAUAGUAGAAUAAAGUGAUCCACGUGUGGAUUUUUGUAUGUAUACUAUGAAUAAGGAUCGGCUAACUCCGUGCCAGCAGCCGCCGUAA
rnacentral:rRNA from 1 species